AUUGAACGCUGGCGGCAUGCCUAACACAUGCAAGUCGAACGGUAACAGGACUAGCUUGCUAGUUGCUGACGAGUGGCGGACGGGUGAGUAAUGCGUAGGAAUUUGCCUAGUAGUGGGGGAUAGCCCGGGGAAACUCGGAUUAAUACCGCAUACGCCCUACGGGGAAAGCAGGGGAUCUUCGGACCUUGCGCUAUUGGAUAAGCCUACGUCAGAUUAGCUUGUUGGUGGGGUAAAGGCCUACCAAGGCGACGAUCUGUAGCUGGUCUGAGAGGAUGAUCAGCCACACUGGGACCGAGACACGGCCCAG
rnacentral:rRNA from 1 species